rnacentral:tRNA from 1 species
ACCUGGCUGGCUCAAUUGGUAGAGUGUGUGACUCUUGAUCUCGGGGUCAUGAGUUCAAACCCCAUGUUGGGGG